rnacentral:rRNA from 1 species
GACGAACGCUGGCGGCGUGCUUAACACAUGCAAGUCGAACGGAAAGGCCCUGCUUUUGUGGGGUGCUUGAGUGGCGAACGGGUGAGUAACACGUGAGUAACCUGCCCUUGACUUUGGGAUAACUUCUGGAAACUGGGGCUAAUACCGGAUAGGAGCUCCUGCUGCAUGGUGGGGGUUGGAAAGUUUCGGCGGUUGGGGAUGGACUCGCGGCUUAUCAGCUUGUUGGUGGGGUAGUGGCUUACCAAGGCUUUGACGGGUAGCCGGCCUGAGAGGGUGACCGGCCACAUUGGGACUGAGAUACGGCCCAGACUCCUACGGGAGGCAGCAGUGGGGAAUAUUGCACAAUGGGCGGAAGCCUGAUGCAGCAACGCCGCGUGCGGGAUGACGGCCUUCGGGUUGUAAACCGCUUUCGCCUGUGACGAAGCGUGAGUGACGGUAAUUGGUAAAGAAGCACCGGCUAACUACGUG